AUAGCAGACCUAUCUUAUCGACUUAUAAUUUAAUGUAAGUAGGAAAGUCUGGACACCAUAGAGUAGCAUAGCGGAUAACAUCCGUCCGGUGUAAACCGAGGACAAGUGCAACAGAAAGUAUGUACAGGUAAUGCUGUAGUGAAACCAGGUAAACUCUAUGCGGUGCAAUGCCAUGUACAUUAGAGCUUGAGCGCUACUCGCGCGAUUCUAAGGGGUAGGCAGAUUGAUUCUGAGAGUAAUUUCAGAACUAGAUAAAUGAUAAGAACCUUAUUUAUAAGGAACAGAAUCCAGCUUAUGGGUCUGCUUUUUUU
rnacentral:RNase_P_RNA from 1 species